rnacentral:rRNA from 1 species
GACAGAGGAUGCAAGCGUUUAUCCGGAAUGAUUGGGCGUAAAGCGUCUGUAGGUGGCUUUUUAAGUCCGCCGUCAAAUCCCAGGGCUCAACCCUGGACAGGCGGUGGAAACUACCAAGCUGGAGUACGGUAGGGGCAGAGGGAAUUUCCGGUGGAGCGGUGAAAUGACGCAGAUAUCGGGAAGAACACCCGUGGCGAAGGCGGUUCUCUGGGACGGUACUGACGCUGAGACGCGAAAGCGUGGGGAGCGAACAGG